rnacentral:rRNA from 1 species
AGGUUAAGUUGAAGAGACGGAGCCGCAGCGAAAGCGAGUCUGAAUAGGGCGUUUAGUACGUGGUCGUAGACCCGAAACCAGGUGAUCUACCCAUGUCCAGGGUGAAGUUCAGGUAACACUGAAUGGAGGCCCGAACCCACGCACGUUGAAAAGUGCGGGGAUGAGGUGUGGGUAGCGGAGAAAUUCCAAUCGAACCUGGAGAUAGCUGGUUCUCCCCGAAAUAGCUUUAGGGCUAGCCUUAAGUGUAAGAGUCUUGGAGGUAGAGCACUGAUUGAACUAGGGGUCCUCAUCGGAUUACCGAAUUCAGUCAAACUCCGAAUGCCAAUGACUUAUCCUUAGGAGUCAGACUGCGAGUGAUAAGAUCCGUAGUCAAGAGGGAAACAGCCCAGAUCGCCAGCUAAGGUCCCAAAGUGUGUAUUAAGUGGAAAAGGAUGUGGAGUUGCUUAGACAACUAGGAUGUUGGCUUAGAAGCAGCCACCAUUUAAAGAGUGCGUAAUAGCUCACUAGUCGAGUGACUCUGCGCCGAAAAUGUACCGGGGCUAAAUACACCACCGAAGCUGCGAAUUGAUACCAAUGGUAUCAGUGGUAGGGGAGCGUUCUAAGUGCAGUGAAGUCAGACCGGAAGGACUGGUGGAGCGCUUAGAAGUGAGAAUGCCGGUAUGAGUAGCGAAAGACGGGUGAGAAUCCCGUCCACCGAAUGCCUAAGGUUUCCUGAGGAAGGCUCGUCCGCUCAGGGUUAGUCAGGACCUAAGCCGAGGCCGACAGGCGUAGGCGAUGGACAACAGGUUGAUAUUCCUGUACCACCUCUUUAUCGUUUGAGCAAUGGAGGGACGCAGAAGGAUAGAAGAAGCGUGCGAUUGGUUGUGCACGUCCAAGCAGUUAGGCUGAUAAGUAGGCAAAUCCGCUUAUUGUGAAGGCUGAGCUGUGAUGGGGAAGCUCCUUAUGGAGCGAAGUCUUUGAUUCCCCGCUGCCAAGAAAAGCUUCUAGCGAGAUAAAAGGUGCCUGUACCGCAAACCGACACAGGUAGGCGAGGAGAGAAUCCUAAGGUGUGCGAGAGAACUCUGGUUAAGGAACUCGGCAAAAUGACCCCGUAACUUCGGGAGAAGGGGUGCUUUCUUAACGGAAAGCCGCAGUGAAUAGGCCCAAGCGACUGUUUAGCAAAAACACAGGUCUCUGCGAAGCCGUAAGGCGAAGUAUAGGGGCUGACACCUGCCCGGUGCUGGAAGGUUAAGGAGAGGGGUUAGCGUAAGCGAAGCUCUGAACUGAAGCCCCAGUAAACGGCGGCCGUAACUAUAACGGUCCUAAGGUAGCGAAAUUCCUUGUCGGGUAAGUUCCGACCCGCACGAAAGGUGUAACGAUUUGGGCACUGUCUCAACCAGAGACUCGGUGAAAUUAUAGUACCUGUGAAGAUGCAGGUUACCCGCGACAGGACGGAAAGACCCCGUGGAGCUUUACUGUAGCCUGAUAUUGAAUUUUGGUACAGUUUGUACAGGAUAGGCGGGAGCCAUUGAAACCGGAGCGCUAGCUUCGGUGGAGGCGCUGGUGGGAUACCGCCCUGACUGUAUUGAAAUUCUAACCUACGGGUCUUAUCGACCCGGGAGACAGUGUCAGGUGGGCAGUUUGACUGGGGCGGUCGCCUCCUAAAGUGUAACGGAGGCGCCCAAAGGUUCCCUCAGAAUGGUUGGAAAUCAUUCGUAGAGUGCAAAGGCAUAAGGGAGCUUGACUGCGAGACCUACAAGUCGAGCAGGGACGAAAGUCGGGCUUAGUGAUCCGGUGGUUCCGCAUGGAAGGGCCAUCGCUCAACGGAUAAAAGCUACCCCGGGGAUAACAGGCUUAUCUCCCCCAAGAGUCCACAUCGACGGGGAGGUUUGGCACCUCGAUGUCGGCUCAUCGCAUCCUGGGGCUGUAGUCGGUCCCAAGGGUUGGGCUGUUCGCCCAUUAAAGCGGUACGCGAGCUGGGUUCAGAACGUCGUGAGACAGUUCGGUCCCUAUCCGUCGUGGGCGUAGGAAAUUUGAGAGGAGCUGUCCUUAGUACGAGAGGACCGGGAUGGACGCACCGCUGGUGUACCAGUUGUUCUGCCAAGGGCAUAGCUGGGUAGCUAUGUGCGGAAGGGAUAAGUGCUGAAAGCAUCUAAGCAUGAAGCCCCCCUCAAGAUGAGAUUUCCCAUAGCGUAAGCUAGUAAGAUCCCUGAAAGAUGAUCAGGUUGAUAGGUUCGAGGUGGAAGCAUGGUGACAUGUGGAGCUGACGAAUACUAAUAGAUCGAGGACUUAACCAU